AGUGAACUUAAGCCCCAGUAAACGGCGGCCGUAACUAUAACGGUCCUAAGGUAGCGAAAUUCCUUGUCGGGUAAGUUCCGACCCGCACGAAAGGCGUAACGAUUUGGGCACUGUCUCAACAACAGACUCGGUGAAAUUGUAAUUCCGGUGAAGAUGCCGGAUACCUGCGACAGGACGGAAAGACCCCAUGGAGCUUUACUGUAGCUUGACAUUGGGUCUUGGUACUACAUGUACAGGAUAGGUGGGAGGCUUUGAAACCAGGACGCCAGUUUUGGCGGAGCCAUCCUUGGGAUACCACCCUUGUAGUACUGGGACUCUAACCAUAGGCCAUGAAUCUGGUCUUGGGACACUGUCAGGUGGGCAGUUUGACUGGGGCGGUCGCCUCCCAAAAGGUAACGGAGGCGCUCAAAGGUUCUCUCAGUACGGUCGGAAAUCGUACGUAGAGUGUAAAGGCAAAAGAGAGCUUGAUUGCAAGACAUACAGGUCGAGCAAGGAUGAAAAUCGGACUUAGUGAUCCGGUGGUUCUGCGUGGAAGGGCCAUCGCUCAACGGAUAAAAGCUACCCUGGGGAUAACAGGCUUAUCUCCCCCAAGAGUCCACAUCGACGGGGAGGUUUGGCACCUCGAUGUCGGCUCAUCACAUCCUGGGGCUGUAGUAGGUCCCAAGGGUUGGGCUGUUCGCCCAUUAAAGUGGUACGCGAGCUGGGUUCAGAACGUCGUGAGACAGUUCGGUCCCUAUCCGUCGCAGGCGUAGGAAAUUUGAGAAGACCUGUCCUUAGUACGAGAGGACCGGGAUGGACGUACCUCUGGUGUACCAGUUGUCCUGCCAAGGGCAUGGCUGGGUAGCUAUGUACGGAAUGGAUAAGCGCUGAAAGCAUCUAAGCGCGAAGCCAACUUCAAGAUAAGAUUUCCCACCGCAAGGGUAAGACCCCAGAAAGACUAUCUGGUUGAUAGGUCGAAGGUGUAAGUGCAGCAAUGUAUUUAGCUUAUCGAUACUAAUAG
rnacentral:rRNA from 1 species